rnacentral:ncRNA from 1 species
UUCCCUCUGAAGUUUCCCUUAAGAUAGCUGGAGCUUAGGAUGAGUUUUAUCGGAUAAAGCCAAUGAUUAGAGGCAUCGGGGGUGCAAUGCCCUCGACCUAUUCUCAAACUUUAAAUAGGUAAGACGGCACGGCUGCUUCAUUGAGCCGAGCCACGGAAUCAAGUGCUCCAACUGGGCCAUUUUUGGUAAGCAGAACUGGCAAUGUAGGAUGAACUGGAAGCCAAGUUAUGAUGCCCAACUGCGCGGUAACCUAGAACCCGCAAAGGGUGUUGGUCGAUUAAGACAGCAAGACAGUGAUCAUGGAAGUCGAAAUCCGUUGAGUGUGUAACAACUGACCUACCGAAUCAACUAGCCCCAAAAAUGGAUGGCGCUUAAGCGCGCGACCUAUACCCAGUCGUCGAGGCAAGAGCUAGGCCUCGAUGAGUAGGAGGGCGCGACGGUUGCUGCAAAAACCAGGGCGCUAGCCCAGGCAGAGCGGCCAUCAGUG